GCGGGUGUAGUUUAGUGGUAAAACCCACAGCCUUCCAAGCUGUUGUCGUGGGUUCGAUUCCCAUCACCCGCUCUA
rnacentral:tRNA from 1 species